GUAGGGUCCAAGCGUUAAUCGGAAUUACUGGGCGUAAAGCGUGCGCAGGCGGUUGUGCAAGACCGAUGUGAAAUCCCCGGGGCUUAACCUGGGAAUUGCAUUGGUGACUGCACGGCUAGAGUGUGUCAGAGGGGGGUAGAAUUCCACGUGUAGCAGUGAAAUGCGUAGAGAUGUGGAGGAAUACCGAUGGCGAAGGCAGCCCCCUGGGAUAACACUGACGCUCAUGCACGAAAGCGUGGGGAGCAAACAGGAUUAGAUACCCUGGUAGUCCACGCCCUAAACGAUGUCAACUAGUUGUUGGGGAUUCAUUUCCUUAGUAACGUAGCUAACGCGUGAAGUUGACCGCCUGGGGAGUACGGUCGCAAGAUUA
rnacentral:rRNA from 1 species